rnacentral:rRNA from 1 species
GACGAACGCUGGCGGCGUGCCUAAUACAUGCAAGUAGAACGCUGAAGAGAGGAGCUUACUCUUCUUGGAUGAGUUGCGAACGGGUGAGAAACGCGUAGGUAACCUGCCUUGUAGCGGGGGAUAACUAUUGGAAACGAUAGCUAAUACCGCAUAACAAUGGAUGACACAUGUCAUUUAUUUGAAAGGGGCAAUUGCUCCACUACAAGAUGGACCUGCGUUGUAUUAGCUAGUAGGUGAGGUAAUGGCUCACCUAGGCGACGAUACAUAGCCGACCUGAGAGGGUGAUCGGCCACACUGGGACUGAGACACGGCCCAGACUCCUACGGGAGGCAGCAGUAGGGAAUCUUCGGCAAUGGGGGCAACCCUGACCGAGCAACGCCGCGUGAGUGAAGAAGGUUUUCGGAUCGUAAAGCUCUGUUGUAAGUCAAGAACGGGUGUGAGAGUGGAAAGUUCACACUGUGACGGUAGCUUACCAGAAAGGGACGGCUAACUACGUG